rnacentral:rRNA from 1 species
UUAGAGUUUGAUCCUGGCUCAGGACGAACGCUGGCGGCGUGCCUAAUACAUGCAAGUCGAGCGAGCUUGCCUAGAUGAUUUUAGUGCUUGCCCUAAAUGAAACUAGAUACAAGCGAGCGGCGGACGGGUGAGUAACACGUGGGUAACCUGCCCAAGAGACUGGGAUAACACCUGGAAACAGAUGCUAAUACCGGAUAACAACACUAGACGCAUGUCUAGAGUUUGAAAGAUGGUUCUGCUAUCACUCUUGGAUGGACCUGCGGUGCAUUAGCUAGUUGGUAAGGUAACGGCUUACCAAGGCAAUGAUGCAUAGCCGAGUUGAGAGACUGAUCGGCCACAUUGGGACUGAGACACGGCCCAAACUCCUACGGGAGGCAGCAGUAGGGAAUCUUCCACAAUGAACGAAAGUCUGAUGGAGCAACGCCGCGUGAGUGAAGAAGGGUUUCGGCUCGUAAAGCUCUGUUGGUAGUGAAGAAAGAUAGAGGUAGUAACUGGCCUUUAUUUGACGGUAAUUACUUAGAAAGUCACGGCUAACUACGUGCCAGCAGCCGCGGUAAUACGUAGGUGGCAAGCGUUGUCCGGAUUAUUGGGUUUAAAGGGUGCGUAGGCGGUCGGAUAAGUUAGAGGUGAAAUCCCGAGGCUCAACUUCGGAAUUGCCUCUGAUACUGUUUGGCUAGAGAGUAGUUGCGGUAGGCGGAAUGUAUGGUGUAGCGGUGAAAUGCUUAGAGAUCAUACAGAACACCGAUUGCGAAGGCAGCUUACCAAGCUACUUCUGACGUUGAGGCACGAAAGCGUGGGGAGCAAACAGGAUUAGAUACCCUGGUAGUCCACGCAGUAAACGAUGAUAACUCGUUGUCGGCGAUACAUUGUCGGUGACUAAGCGAAAGCGAUAAGUUAUCCACCUGGGGAGUACGUUCGCAAGAAUGAAACUCAAAGGAAUUGACGGGGGCCCGCACAAGCGGAGGAACAUGUGGUUUAAUUCGAUGAUACGCGAGGAACCUUACCCGGGCUUGAAAGUUAGUGACGGAUCUUGAAAGAGGUCUUCCCUUCGGGGCACGAAACUAGGUGCUGCAUGGUUGUCGUCAGCUCGUGCCGUGAGGUGUCGGGUUAAGUCCCAUAACGAGCGCAACCCCUACCGUUAGUUGCCAGCAGGUCAAGCUGGGCACUCUGACGGGACUGCCGGUGUAAGCCGAGAGGAAGGUGGGGAUGACGUCAAAUCAGCACGGCCCUUACGUCCGGGGCUACACACGUGUUACAAUGGCAGGUACAGAGGGCAGCUACCCAGCGAUGGGAUGCGAAUCUCGAAAGCCUGUCUCAGUUCGGAUUGGAGGCUGAAACCCGCCUCCAUGAAGUUGGAUUCGCUAGUAAUCGCGCAUCAGCCAUGGCGCGGUGAAUACGUUCCCGGGCCUUGCACACACCGCCCGUCA